CCUACGGGAGGCAGCAGUGGGGAAUAUUGGACAAUGGGCGAAAGCCUGAUCCAGCCAUGCCGCGUGUGUGAAGAAGGUCUUCGGAUUGUAAAGCACUUUAAGUUGGGAGGAAGGGCAGUUGCCUAAUACGUAACUGUUUUGACGUUACCGACAGAAUAAGCACCGGGCUAACUCUGUGCCAGCAGCCGCGGUAAU
rnacentral:rRNA from 1 species